rnacentral:rRNA from 1 species
CGGGGGGGCUAAUACAUGCAAGUCGAGCGGACAGAUGGGAGCUUGCUCCCUGAUGUUAGCGGCGGACGGGUGAGUAACACGUGGGUAACCUGCCUGUAAGACUGGGAUAACUCCGGGAAACCGGGGCUAAUACCGGAUGGUUGUUUGAACCGCAUGGUUCAGACAUAAAAGGUGGCUUCGGCUACCACUUACAGAUGGACCCGCGGCGCAUUAGCUAGUUGGUGAGGUAACGGCUCACCAAGGCGACGAUGCGUAGCCGACCUGAGAGGGUGAUCGGCCACACUGGGACUGAGACACGGCCCAGACUCCUACGGGAGGCAGCAGUAGGGAAUCUUCCGCAAUGGACGAAAGUCUGACGGAGCAACGCCGCGUGAGUGAUGAAGGUUUUCGGAUCGUAAAGCUCUGUUGUUAGGGAAGAACAAGUGCCGUUCAAAUAGGGCGGCACCUUGACGGUACCUAACCAGAAAGCCACGGCUAACUACGUGCCAGCAGCCGCGGUAAUACGUAGGUGGCAAGCGUUGUCCGGAAUUAUUGGGCGUAAAGGGCUCGCAGGCGGUUUCUUAAGUCUGAUGUGAAAGCCCCCGGCUCAACCGGGGGAGGGUCAUUGGAAACUGGGGGAACUUGAGUGCAAAGAAGGAGAGUGAAAUUCCACGUGUACCGCGGAAUUGCUUAAAAAUGU